rnacentral:rRNA from 1 species
GGCCUGGCUGGGUGGUCUUGCCGCAAGGUAAGCACUGCUCUGGUCGGGUCUUUCCUUCUGGCGAACCAGUGUGCUCUUAAUUGAGUGCGCUGGGGAUCCAGGACUUUUACUUUGAAAAAAUUAGAGUGUUUAAAGCAGGCUCACGCUUGAAUACAUUAGCAUGGAAUAACGAAAUAGGAC